rnacentral:rRNA from 1 species
GGGUUGUGAGGUUAAGCGACUAAGCGUACACGGUGGAUGCCCUGGCAGUCAGAGGCGAUGAAGGGCGUACUAAUCUGCGAUAAGCGCCGGUAAGGUGAUAUGAACCGUUAUAACCGGCGAUACCCGAAUGGGGAAACCCAGUGUGAUUCGUCACACUAUCAUUAACUGAAUCCAUAGGUUAAUGAGGCGAACCGGGGGAACUGAAACAUCUAAGUACCCCGAGGAAAAGAAAUCAACCGAGAUUCCCCCAGUAGCGGCGAGCGAACGGGGAGGAGCCCAGAGCCUGAAUCAGCAUGUGUGUUAGUGGAAGCGUCUGGAAAGGCGCGCGAUACAGGGUGACAGCCCCGUACACAAAAGCGCAUGUGCUGUGAGCUCGAUGAGUAGGGCGGGACACGUGGUAUCCUGUCUGAAUAUGGGGGGACCAUCCUCCAAGGCUAAAUACUCCUGACUGACCGAUAGUGAACCAGUACCGUGAGGGAAAGGCGAAAAGAACCCCGGCGAGGGGAGUGAAAAAGAACCUGAAACCGUGUACGUACAAGCAGUGGGAGCCCCACCACCAAAGCAUUUGCUGUACCGCGUUGACGGAGCGAAGCGACGUCA